rnacentral:tRNA from 1 species
GCCUGGAUGGCUUAGUUGGUUAAGCAUCUGAUUUUAGCUCAGGUCAUGAUCUCAUGGUUCGUGAGUUUGAGUCCCACAUGGGGUG